UUGGACGGUCAUAGGGGCUUGGUUCUACCUGUUCUCAUUUCGAACACAGCAGUCAAGCAAGCCUCCGUUUCUGAGUGUACUGUUCUUCUGAACGGGAAAUCAGAAAAGCUGUCCGCC
rnacentral:rRNA from 1 species